AAUCAACGCUGGCGGCGUGCCUCAGACAUGCAAGUCGAACGCGAAAGUCCCCUUCGGGGACGAAGUAGAGUGGCGCACGGGUGAGUAACACGUAGGUAAUCUACCUUCGGUAUGGGGAAGUAACAACCGGAAACGGUUAGCUAAUACCGCAUAAUGCAGCGGCACCUAAUGGUGACAGUUGUUAAAGACGGGGGAGUCGUUAAGACCUCGCGUCUGAAGAGGAGCCUGCGGCGGAUUA
rnacentral:rRNA from 1 species